AACUUCCUUCUGUCAUGAGGAAGUUGCUGUGCAGAGCUGUUGAUUUAUAGAUAGCAAUGUGCAGAGAACAUAACUAGCCAAAGAACAAAACCAUGCUUCUUUAUAUCUGGCCAGUUCUGUUGUAAGUGGGUGUGCUCUCAUGAGGUUAAAACUCUCACAUACUCAUUCUGAAGCUCAUUCAGCACAACAGCAGCACAGAUCUCAGAUCUGUGUGGAUGUUUACUCCCUUCAGAUCAUCACAAGAUUCAGAGGGAGUGGAGAAAGAAAAUCACAUCCAGAAAACUGCUGGAGCCUCAGAAAUCACAGAGCAGCAGAAAACAAGAAGACAGAGAGAAAAAUGGAGACACAAACCAGUGAAUCCCAAGAGAGAAGAGAAGUGAGAGCUGUUAAAUGCGUCAGUAUGGAGGGAAUAAUGCCAAACUUCUCAGAUGAUCCAGAUGAUCCUGUAAAGAUUGAUUCUGAUGUCAAAACUGAGGAGAGAUUCUCUCAUCAAAACCCUCCAUGUUCUCAAGAACACACAACAUCACUGAUGAAGACCUGAACAUCAUCAUCAUCAUCAAUCUGUUCAGCUCUUGGAUUGUUUCAGCUUCAUCUGAUCACAAAAAAACAGACUAAUGAACUGAUCUGAGUUUGAGUCCAGCUCUACAGAGCCACACAAUAUUCCAGUGUGAAUCUGUGGUGAAAAUUGAAACUGCAGCGCUCUAAUUGAGCCAUUGGGGCAGAUUUGAAACUGCCUGCUUAUUUUCACUUUACCUUACAUCAGGGGUGCCCAACCCUGUUCCUGGAGAUCUAACUUCCUGCAAAGUUCAGCUCCAACCCUGAUCAAACACACCUGAAUCAGCUAAUCAAGAUCUUCAGAAGCACUUGAUAAUUACAGACAGGUGAGUUUGAUCAGGGUUGGAUCUGAUCUCUGCAGGAAGGUAGAUCUCCAGGCCUUACAUAAACCUCGCUCCAGAUAAGAUGAUAUCAAUCUGCUUCAGCUGUGUGUAUAUUAGGCUACGUUCAGACUGUCGGUCCAAAUCUGGUUUUUGUCCACGUGAUUGAAAUCUGAUUGGAUUUAGCAAGUGUGAACGGUCAAAAAUCUGUUCUGAGCUACAUUCAUAUGUGAUUUGAAAUCCUCUUCAAAACUCAUUUCUGGAAAUCUCUUUCAGUCUGACCGCUCUGAUUGGAUUUUGUGUGGUUUAUGUGACUUUCUCACACCACAUAAUGUAAACAUCAGAUGUUGUUAUAGAAAACAUGCUGAAAGUUGAAAGUCGAACGUGUGAACAUAGCCUUAGUCUGCAUCAGGUCAGUCCUGAUGCAUGACUUUCUUUUCCUCACCUGAAUUCCUCCACAACGUGUAACAUUCUGAAUCAACACAUUAUCAUCUCUAUACCGUAAUGAAAUCAUUAAUGUUAUAAUUCUCCAGUUUCUGUCAUUUCACACAGAAGAUCUCUGUUUCUCUUUCUGACAGAAUCAUUUCUGUUCUUACCAGAGACUGUGUUUCUGAUUCAUCUGUCAGCAGAUCAUGAUGAUGAUGUUUCAUAUCAAGCUCAUCUCCAUCAUCUCCUAAUGGAAGAAUAUAUUCAUAAACUCAUAUCAGUCAUAAAUGCAUUACAAUGAGUCUCUUUAUAAUACAUUUUCCUCAUUUAAAAGCUGAAAAUGUUGGAAAAUUUCAAUCCAAGAUGAAAAUAAAUUCAUAUUCACACA